GACGAACGCUGGCGGCGUGCUUAACACAUGCAAGUCGAACGAAGAGCGAUGGAAGCUUGCUUCUAUCAAUCUUAGUGGCGAACGGGUGAGUAACGCGUAAUCAACCUGCCCUUCAGAGGGGGACAACAGUUGGAAACGACUGCUAAUACCGCAUACGAUCUGACCUCGGCAUCGAGGAUAGAUGAAAGGUGGCCUCUACAUGUAAGCUAUCACUGAAGGAGGGGAUUGCGUCUGAUUAGCUAGUUGGAGGGGUAACGGCCCACCAAGGCGAUGAUCAGUAGCCGGUCUGAGAGGAUGAACGGCCACAUUGGGACUGAGACACGGCCCAGACUCCUACGGGAGGCAGCAGUGGGGAAUCUUCCGCAAUGGACGAAAGUCUGACGGAGCAACGCCGCGUGAGUGAUGACGGCCUUCGGGUUGUAAAGCUCUGUUAAUCGGGACGAAAGGCCUUUUUGCGAAUAGUGAGAAGGAUGA
rnacentral:rRNA from 1 species